rnacentral:rRNA from 1 species
UACGUAGGGUGCAAGCGUUAUCCGGAAUUAUUGGGCGUAAAGAGCUCGUAGGCGGUUUGUCGCGUCUGCUGUGAAACCCGAGGCUCAACCUCGGGCCUGCAGUGGGUACGGGCAGACUAGAGUGCGGUAGGGGAGAUUGGAAUUCCUGGUGUAGCGGUGGAAUGCGCAGAUAUCAGGAGGAACACCGGAUGGCGAAGGCAGAUCUCUGGGCCGUAACUGACGCUGAGGAGCGAAAGCGUGGGGAGCGAACAGG